rnacentral:rRNA from 1 species
AUGAACGCUGGCGGCGUGCUUAACACAUGCCAGUCGCACGGAAAGGCUCCUGCUUGCAGGGGUACUCGAGUGGCGAACGGGUGAGUAACACGUGGGUGAUCUGCCCUGCACUUCGGGAUAAGCCUGGGAAACUGGGUCUAAUACCGGAUAGGACGAUGGUUUGGAUGCCAUUGUGGAAAGUUUUUCGGUGUGGGAUGAGCUCGCGGCCUAUCAGCUUGUUGGUGGGGUAAUGGCCUACCAAGGCGUCGACGGGUAGCCGGCCUGAGAGGGUGUACGGCCACAUUGGGACUGAGAUACGGCCCAGACUCCUACGGGAGGCAGCAGUGGGGAAUAUUGCACAAUGGGCGCAAGCCUGAUGCAGCGACGCCGCGUGGGGGAUGACGGCCUUCGGGUUGUAAACUCCUUUCGCUAGGGACGAAGCGCAAGUGACGGUACCUGGAGAAGAAGCACCGGCUAACUACGUG